CAUAAUAACACUGCUUUUUAGCCAAUGAACAUCAAGGAAAGUUGUCAGAUCUGACAACUUGUCGAACGAAAAUGAUGAAACCCUCACUUGUUUGUGAUUGGCCGCCAGCCCUCACUUUCAAAACCGUUCCGCGGCCUGUAUGUCAUGUACGAGCAUGACGAGUAGGCCUAUUACAGUAACUGUUGGUGUGAUGCCCUGAUGGGGAGGACAGUUUUUGUUUUGCCGUUGUUUUAAUUGCUUCAUAUUGGGUGCAGAUUUGAGAACCAAUUGCUCCAGUUUGCUGAAUAAAAGCUCAAGACCACGACUAGAAGACAAUAUGAUGAUGAAGCUACAGAAACACGAACAAUAAUUUGAGGAGAAAGUGGCUGAGGAGGAGGUGGAGGCAGAGGAGGAUUUGACAGAGGAGGAAGAGAAGACGGCAUAGGAGGAGGUGGUGGAUGGCUGAGGAGGUGGAAGAGACAUAAUGAUGAUGAAGCUAUGGAAACACGAACAAUAAUUUGAAAGGAUGGAAGAGAAGGAGGAGGAGGAAGUGGCUGAGGAGGAGACGGCAGAGGAGAAGACGGCAGAGGAGGAUGUGAUGGAUGGCUGAGGAGGUGGAAAGUGAUAAGUCUGCAGAAGAGCAGACGGCAGAGGAGAAGAAGGCAGAGGAGGAGGUGGCGGAUGGCUGAGGAGGUAGAAAAGGAGGAGUUGGCAGAAGAGGAGACGGCAGAGGAGGAUGUGAUGGAUGGCUGAGGAGGUGGAAAUUGAUAAGUCGGCAGAAGAGGAGACGGCAGAGGA